GGUUAAGCGACUAAGCGUACACGGUGGAUGCCCUGGCAGUCAGAGGCGAUGAAGGACGUGCUAAUCUGCGAUAAGCGUCGGUAAGGUGAUAUGAACCGUUAUAACCGGCGAUUUCCGAAUGGGGAAACCCAGUGUGUUUCGACACACUAUCAUUAACUGAAUCCAUAGGUUAAUGAGGCGAACCGGGGGAACUGAAACAUCUAAGUACCCCGAGGAAAAGAAAUCAACCGAGAUUCCCCCAGUAGCGGCGAGCGAACGGGGAGGAGCCCAGAGCCUGAAUCAGUGUGUGUGUUAGUGGAAGCGUCUGGAAAGGCGCGCGAUACAGGGUGACAGCCCCGUACACAAAAAUGCACAUGCUGUGAGCUCGAUGAGUAGGGCGGGACACGUGGUAUCCUGUCUGAAUAUGGGGGGACCAUCCUCCAAGGCUAAAUACUCCUGACUGACCGAUAGUGAACCAGUACCGUGAGGGAAAGGCGAAAAGAACCCCGGCGAGGGGAGUGAAAAAGAACCUGAAACCGUGUACGUACAAGCAGUGGGAGCACGCUUAGGCGUGUGACUGCGUACCUUUUGUAUAAUGGGUCAGCGACUUAUAUUCUGUAGCAAGGUUAACCGAAUAGGGGAGCCGAAGGGAAACCGAGUCUUAACUGGGCGUUAAGUUGCAGGGUAUAGACCCGAAACCCGGUGAUCUAGCCAUGGGCAGGUUGAAGGUUGGGUAACACUAACUGGAGGACCGAACCGACUAAUGUUGAAAAAUUAGCGGAUGACUUGUGGCUGGGGGUGAAAGGCCAAUCAAACCGGGAGAUAGCUGGUUCUCCCCGAAAGCUAUUUAGGUAGCGCCUCGUGAAUUCAUCUCCGGGGGUAGAGCACUGUUUCGGCAAGGGGGUCAUCCCGACUUACCAACCCGAUGCAAACUGCGAAUACCGGAGAAUGUUAUCACGGGAGACACACGGCGGGUGCUAACGUCCGUCGUGAAGAGGGAAACAACCCAGACCGCCAGCUAAGGUCCCAAAGUCAUGGUUAAGUGGGAAACGAUGUGGGAAGGCCCAGACAGCCAGGAUGUUGGCUUAGAAGCAGCCAUCAUUUAAAGAAAGCGUAAUAGCUCACUGGUCGAGUCGGCCUGCGCGGAAGAUGUAACGGGGCUAAACCAUGCACCGAAGCUGCGGCAGCGACGCUUAUGCGUUGUUGGGUAGGGGAGCGUUCUGUAAGCCUGUGAAGGUGUGCUGUGAGGCAUGCUGGAGGUAUCAGAAGUGCGAAUGCUGACAUAAGUAACGAUAAAGCGGGUGAAAAGCCCGCUCGCCGGAAGACCAAGGGUUCCUGUCCAACGUUAAUCGGGGCAGGGUGAGUCGACCCCUAAGGCGAGGCCGAAAGGCGUAGUCGAUGGGAAACAGGUUAAUAUUCCUGUACUUGGUGUUACUGCGAAGGGGGGACGGAGAAGGCUAUGUUGGCCGGGCGACGGUUGUCCCGGUUUAAGCGUGUAGGCUGGUUUUCCAGGCAAAUCCGGAAAAUCAAGGCUGAGGCGUGAUGACGAGGCACUACGGUGCUGAAGCAACAAAUGCCCUGCUUCCAGGAAAAGCCUCUAAGCAUCAGGUAACAUCAAAUCGUACCCCAAACCGACACAGGUGGUCAGGUAGAGAAUACCAAGGCGCUUGAGAGAACUCGGGUGAAGGAACUAGGCAAAAUGGUGCCGUAACUUCGGGAGAAGGCACGCUGAUAUGUAGGUGAAGUCCCUCGCGGAUGGAGCUGAAAUCAGUCGAAGAUACCAGCUGGCUGCAACUGUUUAUUAAAAACACAGCACUGUGCAAACACGAAAGUGGACGUAUACGGUGUGACGCCUGCCCGGUGCCGGA
rnacentral:rRNA from 1 species